rnacentral:rRNA from 1 species
CAGCCGCCACGGUAAUACGAAGGGGGCUAGCGUUGCUCGGAAUGACUGGGCGUAAAGGGCGCGUAGGCGGCGGCCAAAGUCAGGCGUGAAAUUCCCGGGCUCAACCUGGGGGCUGCGUUUGAUACUUGGUUGCUUGAGUGGGGAAGAGGGUCGUGGAAUUCCCAGUGUAGAGGUGAAAUUCGUAGAUAUUGGGAAGAACACCGGUGGCGAAGGCGGCGACCUGGUUCAUGAUUGACGCUGAGGCGCGAAAGCGUGGGGAGCAAACAGGAUUAGAUACCCCCGUAGUCCCUGUCUCUUAUAC